rnacentral:rRNA from 1 species
UACGUAGGCAGCAAGCGUUGUUCGGAGUUACUGGGCGUAAAGGGUGUGUAGGCGGUUGUUUAAGUUUGGUGUGAAAUCUCCCGGCUCAACUGGGAGGGUGCGCCGAAUACUGAAUGACUUCGAGUGCGGGAGAGGAAAGUGGAAUUCCUGGUGUAGCGGUGAAAUGCGUAGAUAUCUGGAGGAACACCGGUGGCGAAGGCGGCAUCCUGGACCGGCAUUGACGCUGAGGCGCGAAAGCCAGGGGAGCAAACGGG